CCUACGGGAGGCAGCAGUGAGGAAUAUUGGUCAAUAGGCGGGAGCCUGAACCAGCCAAGUCGCGUGAGGGAAGACGGUCCUACGGAUUGUAAACCUCUUUUGCCGGGGAGCAACGGGGUCCUUGCGAGGGCUCGAUGAGAGUACCCGGAGAAAAAGCAUCGGCUAACUCCGUCCCAGCAGCCGCGGUAAUACGGAGGAGGCGAGCGUUAUCCGGAUUUAUUGGGUUUAAAGGGUGCGUAGGCGGGCUGUUAAGUCAGUGGUAAAAUGUCGGGGCUCAACCCCGGCCUGCCGUUGAAACUGGCGGCCUCGAGUGGGCGAGAAGUAUGCGGAAUGCGUGGUGUAGCGGUGAAAUGCAUAGAUAUCACGCAGAACUCCGAUUGCGAAGGCAGCAUACCGGCGCACUACUGACGCUGAGGCACGAAAGCGUGGGUAUCGAACAGGAUUAGAUACCCGGGUAGUC
rnacentral:rRNA from 1 species